GUUUUGGAACAUUAUUUUGUGAUAGCAGAACCCCAUUUUUACCAGCAAAUCUAAUGAUCUGGGCAUUUAGGAUGUUAAAUAGCUUUGAUUAUCAAAGAAAACUGAACCCAUGGCAGACAUAGGAAGAUGUGGAUUGAUCUGCUGAGGAUGUGUAGGAAUGGAAAUGGAUGACCUAUCCCCUCCAGCCCUAUGAUGUCUAUCUUAAACUUGAAGCAGGAAUGCAGCUCUGAGCAAUGCACAAUACCCCCCCAAUGUCCAGUGGAUUCAAAGGGACCCCCAUGGCAUGGUCCCUCCUUGGCCUGCAGAAAGAUUGAAUGUGGCUUUUCUGUGCCUGAUGUUGGCACCAGGCUGCAGUGGAGGUAAUGUCAGGAUAAAUCCCUCAUUCAUUUCUCUUGUUCUUCCUCCCUUUGCCAGCAACUGUGGGAAAAUGCUGCACAAAAUGUCCACAUCAUGUCAUAAAGCCCUGGCCCAAGAGAGUGAGCAAUGCCAAAGAACAUCUGCCAAGCAGUUUGUAAUGAGAGUCCAGGCCUUUGGCAGAUGAAGUAUAAUGUUUGGAACUGAUUCCACCUGCUGCCUCUACAACUCAGUGAAGACACCUCAGAGAUGAUGCUGAACCAUCCUGUUGAUUAGCAGUAAACAUACAACAUACAGCAACACCUGCUACUACUUGGAGAUACCCUGGGGAAACUUGAAUGGCUGCAAAAUGCUGAAAUGAACAUGUGGGUCCUGUUUCAAUGGCAGUAAGUAGUGACUCAUUUCUUGCCUAAAUUCAAAGUGUGGUUCUUAUUAUCUUGAAAGCCCUCAAUGGACUGAGCCCAGAGUACUUGAAGGAGUG